GUAUUCUCGAUCCUAUAUAAGGAUUGGAGUCCUCCUCGUGCAGCUGCUCCGGUCCUCUUGGUUUGAUCUCGGGACAGCUAACUACAUUUAGCUAACACUAACAAGGAGUCGAGCCCCAGCUCUAUCUAUCCCGCACCAGCAAUGCCGGCCACCAUGCCGCUAACCUUGUCGCUGCCCCGCCUCCUCCUCCUCCACCGCCGCCGCCACGCCAAGGUCCAGCAGCCGCGCUCCCUCGCGCGGCUCCGUUGCGCCCCCGACGAGGUCGCGGCCACGACCGCCGAGCAGCGGCAGGGGGAGGGGGAGGAGGAGGAGUUGGUGCUCCUCGCCUCCUACCGCACCGCCUUCAACGAGGUCAUCAUGGUCAUCGACUCGCCCUCCAACCGCUACCUCGUCCUCGACCCCACCCGCAACGUCCACAGCAUUCUCCCCAAGAAGGGCGCCUGGACCAAUUCCUACUGGGAUGAGUGUGUCAGCCUACCUACCGUUGUUCCACGCGGCCCUGUUGCACUUCUAGGUUUGGGUGCUGGGACAGCAGCACAUAUGAUGCUGGAAGUUUGGCCUUGGAUACAACUUAUCGGAUGGGAGAUUGAUCCGACGGUAAUUGAAUUGUCAAGGGAUUAUUUUGGUAUGUCCACUUUAGAGAAGACCACGGAACUAGGUGGUUCACUUUCAGUGCAUAUUGGCGAUGCACUUUCCCCAUCGGCUACAGUCGAAGGAGGAUUUGCUGGUAUUGUUGUUGAUUUAUUUGCUGAUGGAGAAGUCUUACCUCAGCUACAGGAAGUUGACACUUGGUUAGAGAUUGCGAAGAAGCUGAUGCCCGAUGGUCGAAUCAUGGUCAACUGCGGUGCGGGAGAUGCCGCCGUAUCUCUUGCUGCCGACGCGGAUGUUUCCUCCUGGGUUCAGAAUCCCACAAUCAAGGCUCUAUGCUCUGCAUUUCCAGGGCAACUAAACUGGAAGAGGCUUUCGGAGAAGGAGAGCGUAAACUACGUCGCGUUGACGGGUCCCCUUCCGGACCUGGAGGAGUGGUCAGCCUCGGUUCCGAGCGAGUUGAGCCUGAGAGUGAAACAAUGGGUGCCUUGCAAGCUCGCGUGAGGAUCGAUCCAUGUAAGUUUUCCUCUGGCUGCGCCUUGCUUGCUUCCACAACUUUGCAUGUCUCCUUCCUCCACGGUCCUUUUCUGGUGUAGUUAAGGCCAUCGAUCUGCAUUUGAAGAAGUGACAUAUCAUAUCAGCGCUCACAUGUCCGAGGAAGGAAUGGCAGUGGGGAAGGAACGAAGAUGAUAUGGAUCUGUCCGGCCCAAAUUUAUGUUCCUAGUUUGAAGAAGAGCAGAGCGAAGACCUGCCUGCAUGUUGAAUGGAACUCAUGUGUCUACUCCUGAAAUCGGGCGAGGGGAACUCCGGAACGCACCACGCUACAAUUAAUUUUUGUUAUGUCCCGCUGAUUAGUACUAUCUCCGUAUCAAAAUAUAAGAUGUUUUUGCAGCUCAAUUUAAACCGUAGAGAUGUCUUGCAUUUUGAUA